AUUUAAGUCCUUGCCUUCAGCAUUGAUAAGAGUUUCUAGAGAUAAGGUCAUCCCCCUUCUUCCUGGUGCAGAGAGGGAGACACCUUUACAGAUGGAGAUUUCCUUUACAAUGUAAAUGUCUCUUAACAAAGGGUAACUUCUACUUUUCAGAGCUUCUCCCAUGUCAGCAGUUUUUAACAGUAACCAGCCCAAAAUAAUCCUCAUGCCAAAGAGACACAUUUUGGGGUGGCCAGUUCUGAUCCCCCAUAGCCCUAUCUUGGUGGAUCCAUGUCCUUAUAUAUUUGUCCAAACCCACAGAGUGUGCACCAGCAAGAGUGAGCCCGAAUGUAAACCCCAGGUGACGCCGGGUGAUGAUGAUGUGUCCGCCUGGGCUCAUCCAGGGACGCCUAUUACAGCAUGGCUUUCGCCAAGCAGUGCCUUGUCCACACCCGGGAUCGGAACCAGCAAACCCUGGGCCGCCUAGAAGCGGAAUGUGCGCACUUAGCCGCUGCACCGCUGCACCACCU
rnacentral:lncRNA from 1 species